GGCUCAGGAUGAACGCUGGCGGUAUGCUUAACACAUGCAAGUCGAACGGGAAUCUUAGGAUUCUAGUGGCGGACGGGUGAGUAACGCGUGAGAAUUUGGCUUCAGGUCGGGGACAACAGUUGGAAACGACUGCUAAUACCGGAUAUGCCGGAAGGUGAAAGAUUUAUUGCCUGAAGAUAAGCUCGCGUCUGAUUAGCUAGUUGGUGGGGUAAGAGCCUACCAAGGCGACGAUCAGUAGCUGGUCUGAGAGGAUGAUCAGCCACACUGGGACUGAGACACGGCCCAGACUCCUACGGGAGGCAGCAGUGGGGAAUUUUCCGCAAUGGGCGAAAGCCUGACGGAGCAAUACCGCGUGAGGGAGGAAGGCUCUUGGGUCGUAAACCUCUUUUCUCAGGGAAGAAAAAAAUGACGCUACCUGAGGAAUAAGCAUCGGCUAACUCCGUGCCAGCAGCCGCGGUAAUACGGAGGAUGCAAGCGUUAUCCGGAAUGAUUGGGCGUAAAGGGUCUGUAGGUGGUGCUGUAAGUCUGCUGUUAAAGAGUCACGCUCAACGUGAUAAAAGCGGUGGAAACUACAGGACUAGAGUGCGGUCGGGGCAGAAGGAAUUCCUGGUGUAGCGGUGAAAUGCGUAGAUAUCAGGAAGAACACCGGUGGCGAAAGCGUUCUGCUAGUCCGCAACUGACACUGAGGGACGAAAGCUAGGGGAGCGAAUGGGAUUAGAUACCCCAGUAGUCCUAGCCGUAAACGAUGGAUACUAGGCGUGGCUUGUAUCGACCCGAGCCGUGCCGGAGCUAACGCGUUAAGUAUCCCGCCUGGGGAGUACGCACGCAAGUGUGAAACUC
rnacentral:rRNA from 1 species